AAAACACAACAAAUCCUAUGGUUAGGGUCGAGCUGACUGCCCACUAAAGAAGCCCAGAUACAUGUAGAUGGCACAACCCAAGUAAGGGAAAAUAACACUCACCCCAGACUGUGGUACCAUAUCAAUGGGUCUCCGGUUUAUAUGACUCUAAAACAUUCCUAUCCUCCAUACUGAAAAGAGAAUGCCAUGUACUAUGCUGUUGAACGAUAUUGUUAUAUUAACUUGCUACACACAAG